ACGUUUUGCUUCCACGCAGAUGCCAUUGUGGGGAAGAUAUCCCCAAAUAGCGCCUUGAUUCCUCCAGGAGGAGAAGUCAUCUCUCCUGGAUACCCUACAAAAGGUCCACGGGAAGGUAUACAGUACACGCAAGUGAUGCGUGCUCCCGAAGGCCAGAGAGCAGUGGUCAAGUUCGAAGACUUCCAGAUCUUGCCGCGUUUCAACAAGACUUGCAGUUACAGCUCCUUGGAGAUACGUUCUGACGUCUCCGUGGAGGAGGGGGCCAUAUUCUGUGGUGAAGAAAUUUCGAACGGAACAGUUUUUAAGAGUAACAAGUCGGAGCUUAUCCUCCACUACAAGAACUACAACUACGCAAUGUUUGGACUAGAAAACUGGAGUCGUGGGUACAAGGCCGUUUUCACAACUGAGAUCAUUUCCAACUGAAGGUAGUCUCGAGGUGAUGCGGAGUCAUCUGUUGCUUCUGGUGCGAAGCAUGGACGACGUGGAGCUCUCAGUAGUUUGCUGAUUUUGCGUGAAAAAAAUAUAACCGUUUGAAAUUGUUAUACUUUUUUAUUAUAUGUUGAUUUUGCGAGAAAAUAAUUUAUAUAUAAUUUAACAAUGUGUGGUGAAUAAAUAUAUUUAUGCUUGCACU
rnacentral:lncRNA from 1 species